ensembl:ncRNA F02G3.4 ncRNA
GCGAAUAACUAUUGAGCGAAAAAGGCAGAGCAGGAAUCAGAGAAGGGAAAAAAAGAAAAAAAUAGUGGUGGGGGGGGGGGGGCACAUGACAUACGAGAGAUACAUUCAAGGUUAUUAUGUAAAUAUGUGUGUCGGCGCCAAAAGUCUC